rnacentral:rRNA from 1 species
GUGGAGCGUGUGGCUUAAUUUGACCCAACGCGGGAUACCUUACCAGGUCCGAACACACUGGGGAUUGACAGGUGAUAAUCUAUUAUAAUAUUAUAUAUUUUUAUAUAUAUUAUUAUUUUAGAGGCAAAUAUGAUAGUCCUUUCAUGAUUAUGUGAUAGGUGGCGCAUGGCCGUUUUUAGUUCGUGGAGUGAUUUGUCUGCUUAAUUGCGUUUCAAAUUAAAAUGUGUAUUAUAAAUUUAUAUAAUACUUUGAGUACAUGUUUUUUGUAUUCGGUAUAAUAAUAUUAUAAUUACACUAAAUGAAUGCAACGAACGUGACCG